CUAAGUCGGGACGGGAUAAACGCUGAAAGCAUCUAAGCGUGAAGCCUCCUUCAAGAUGAGAUUUCCCAUAGCGUAAGCUAGUAAGACCCCUUGAAGACUACAAGGUUGAUAGGUCAGAGGUGUAAGUAUGGCAACAUAUUUAGCUGACUGAUACUAAUAGGUCGAGGGCUUGACCAAU
rnacentral:rRNA from 1 species